AUUUUGUGCUGUGUGUGAAAACCACCAACGCUGGAGGAUUGUUUCAGUGCAUACUGGAGUUUGCUGUUCAAGUGUGUGAGUGUGGAGA